GGUUAGGCGGGCCCUUAUUUUUUUUUCACGUCAAGAGUGGUAGCUUCCCUACUCCCUAGUACUCAAAAUCCACUAGUCCAAACCAUCACAGACUCCUGUCCUGUUGUUUGGUGAAUAAUGAACCCAUUUACGUAAAAGUUUAACCGCAGCUUUAAUUUUACUUACAAAAUUCUUACAGUAAGAAUUUUUGUUUUUCUUGGGGCGGGUUGGGUGCCGGGGGGAAUACUGUUCUCCCUCGUCCGCGACACUAAAAGUUUGGCAGCCAGUCAGUUUGGUCCGGCAAAUUGCAAGGCGCAAAGGUAAUUGGUAAUCCACUCAAAUGGUGUUCCUACAACUUAUUUGCUUGUUUUCAGUCAAACGAAAUACGAUUAAUUUAUGCCAAUAUAUACAAGAUUAAUUUCAGCUUUUUGGGAUGCAUCAGUUCUAAAUAUUUUCCUAUAAAUGCUUAUCUAAUUCCUCGUGAAUGAGCGAAGAAGGAAUCUCUCUAAUUUCUAUCCAAGCAUAGUGACAAAAAAAAAAAAAAAAAAAA